GUUUGGGUUUUAAUACCUAGGAAAGAAUUGUUAUUUUGGAUUAAGCCAAAGAGGAGGCCCAGAUUCGUUGGGCCUGUCUAAAUUAUAAAGGUAAAAUACAAUUUUACCCUUUCAUUUAAAACCAGAUCUCAGCCUCUCUCUCUCUCUCUCUCUCUCUUCUCGUCCUUAUUCACUCCAUCGAUGACGACGCCCUGUCUCUCAUCUUCCCUCUUCUCUCCACUGACGAUACAACACCCUCUCUUUCUCCUCUUUCUUCUUCGCACAAUAAACCACGACGACACCCGCUCUCUCUCCUUUUCCUUAUUUGCUCAAUCGACAACGACACCCUCUGUCUCAUCUUCCUUCUUCUCACCCGAAGCUCUGUUUUUCAUCUGGUGAGUUGGCUCCUAUCAUGCAUCUUCAUUAUUGGUGGCUUCCAGACCUCCAACCCCUGGUGUUCCUAGUCGAGGGAUUGGUCUGGAGGGUCUUUCUAGUGCCUUGGCUGGUCUAUGGGGUACUGGAACAGGCUCCACAAGUUUAACUGAAAAUGUGCACACACUAGUUGCCACUAAGAUGGGAAGCCGUAGAGCUGUUGAAUUGGGGCGCAUGCAUUUUGAUUGUCUUAUCCCUUGUCGGUAAGUGUUUGUUAAGCUUCUGUUUUCAAUUGCAACAAUGAGCCAGUAACAACAUAAAUAUGGUAUAUUCUGUCAUUUUUAGUGCAUGCUUAGAUCAUUUUGUUAUAACAUGCUACUGCUAGUACUGAUACAAGUGUCUGUACAAUUACUACUUUGACAUUAGUUUCAUUUCUGGUUGGGCAUACUAGCAUUUCAAUAUCAAGUGUAUAGUUUGAAUACCUAAAAUAGCAAGUGUAUCCAUUUGGCUCUAGUUAUUUGAAGAUUGCAAUUGCUCAGAUUAUUUCUUUGUGGCUUGGGUAAUAUAUCCUCCGCAAUCUUCUUUAUUCAA